UACGUAGGGUGCAAGCGUUGUCCGGAAUUAUUGGGCGUAAAGAGCUCGUAGGCGGUCUGUCGCGUCUGCUGUGAAAACUCAGGGCUUAACCCUGAGCUUGCAGUGGGUACGGGCAGACUAGAGUGCGGUAGGGGAGACUGGAAUUCCUGGUGUAGCGGUGAAAUGCGCAGAUAUCAGGAGGAACACCGGUGGCGAAGGCGGGUCUCUGGGCCUUACCUGACGCUGAGGAGCGAAAGCGUGGGUAGCGAACAGG
rnacentral:rRNA from 1 species